rnacentral:rRNA from 1 species
GAAAUGCGAUAAGUAAUGUGAAUUGCAGAAUUCAGUGAAUCAUCGAAUCUUUGAACGCACCUUGCGCUCCUUGGUAUUCCGAGGAGCAUGCCUGUUUGAGUGUCAUGAAAUUCUCAACCUACAAGCCUUUUCAGAGGUCCUUGUACGGCUUGGAUUUGGAGGAUCAUUGUCGGCAGCGAUGUCGGCUCCUCUUAAACGCAUUAGCUAGUUCUCGCGGAACGGCUUUCGGUGUGAUAAUUGUCUACGCCGUGGUCGUACCGAGUAUAUGGACGAGCUUCUAAACUGUCACUCCUUGUGAGAGACACAUAUCUUGACAUCUGACCUCAAAUCAGGUAGGACUACCCGCUGAACUUAA